GAUGAUUGGACAUAUCAGGCCCCAAGGAUGUUGUAAUUGAGGAUGUGAUACAAUAUCCAGCAAAAUCUGAAGAGGAGUUGCUGGAGAUUAUCAGGGAAUUAGAAAAACCCUGAAUUUAAAAAGAAAUUGAUAAACCUACUUAGUACCUUAGGUGGUCAUAAAGUUGGGGACAAUGUCCGAACAAUGCUGCGAUUAUUGGGGACGAAUGGACUUUGGUCCAAUUAUAGCUUAAAAGGGAAAAAAAGAAGAACUUCUCAUAGCUAUCCCUUUGUAGAGUUGUCACAAAAUCUUGUAUAAAAAUACACAGAUGCAGUGUGUCUGAGAUGAGGAGUGCAUAGCAGAAACCCUCAAGCAUGCACCAGCUCAAAAAGAUGGACCAAGAUAUAAAAAGGGACCUGAAACCAACACCAACCAACCAGCUGAUCAGAGGGCAGGAAACAAUACUUUGG